AAUAUUGGACAAUGGGGGAAACCCUAAUCAAGCAAUGCCGCGGGUGUGAAAAGGGUCNNNGGAUUNUAAAGCCCUUUAGGUUGNGGGNAAGGGCUUUGGGCAAUAACCCUAAGUUUUUACCUUUCCAAACGAAAAAAGCCCGGGCUACCUCUGUCCCACCAGCCGCGGUAAUACAGAGGGUGCAAGCGUUAAUCGGAAUUACUGGGCGUAAAGCGCGCGUAGGUGGCUCAGUAAGAUGGGUGUGAAAUCCCCGGGCUUAACCUGGGAACUGCUUUCAUAACUGCUGAGCUAGAGUACGGUAGAGGGUAGUGGAAUUUCCUGUGUAGCGGUGAAAUGCGUAGAUAUAGGAAGGAACACCAGUGGCGAAGGCGACUACCUGGACUGAUACUGACACUGAGGUGCGAAAGCGUGGGGAGCAAAC
rnacentral:rRNA from 1 species